rnacentral:tRNA from 1 species
GCGAGAGUGGCGGAAUUGGUAGACGCGCUAGAUUUAGGAUCUAGUGCCUUUUUUGGCGUGGGGGUUCGAGUCCCCCCUCUCGUA